UGGGGAAUAUUGGACAAUGGGCGAAAGCCUGAUCCAGCCAUGCCGCGUGUGUGAAGAAGGUCUUCGGAUUGUAAAGCACUUUAAGUUGGGAGGAAGGGCAUUAACCUAAUACGUUAGUGUUUUGACGUUACCGACAGAAUAAGCACCGGCUAACUCUGUGCCAGCAGCCGCGGCAAUACAGAGGGUGCAAGCGUUAAUCGGAAUUACUGGGCGUAAAGCGCGCGUAGGUGGUUUGUUAAGUUGGAUGUGAAAUCCCCGGGCUCAACCUGGGAACUGCAUUCAAAACUGACUGACUAGAGUAUGGUAGAGGGUGGUGGAAUUUCCUGUGUAGCGGUGAAAUGCGUAGAUAUAGGAAGGAACACCAGUGGCGAAGGCGACCACCUGGUCUAAUACUGACACUGAGGUGCGAAAGCGUGGGGAGCAAACA
rnacentral:rRNA from 1 species